rnacentral:misc_RNA from 1 species
GCAUUCAACUGUCUUUCUAACUGCGUAACAAAAAGAGAAUAAGAGACCCAAUUUCAUCACCGAUGAUGACUAUUGAACUUAACUCAUGCACUUACAGGUUUGAUUAUCCCGAAUAUCUUACUAAAAUACAAACAGUUAAGAUGAUGCGUUUGUGGACUUGUACAAAUUCACCAUUUUUGUGCCAAAUCAACAAAUUUAAAAGGGAACAGACAUUGAACGGUUGAUUAAAAGGGAACUCAAUUUUUGCCGCAUUUUAUUAAUAGUUGAAGUUCAAUUAGAAAAAAUAAAAUAAAAUAAAAUGUGACAAUCUUAACCUUUAUUUUCCAUGAAGAGCAAUGCAGAGAAAGGGGACAACU